UUUAACAAUUUAACCAAAUAAACAGAUUACCAGCGAUCCCCAAGAGUCACAUCAACAAAUAGCAACAGAGCAAACAUCAUGAAUUUCAGAAUACUUAUAACAUUUCAGGACAUUCAUCCAUAAGUUCAUUACUAGAAAUGAAGCACAUUUCACAGCAUAAGUGCGCAUCAAGAGCGUAUUCACAUGGAGGGCACAACACUACUACGGCCCAACUACACAUCACAGAGGCAUUUUACGGAUUAUUACGCAACACACAAACAGCAGCACACAGGCAUAUCAUGGAACUUGCCCCUCCUGGGAAAGGG
rnacentral:lncRNA from 1 species